AGAGUUUGAUCAUGGCGUCAGGAUGAACGCUGGCGGCGUGCCUAACACAUGCAAGUCGAGCGAUUCUACUUCGGAGAAGAGCGGCGGACGGGUGAGUAACGCGUGGGUAACCUGCCUGUACACACGGAUAACAUACCGAAAGGUAUGCUAAUACGAGAUAAUAUGCUUUUAUCGCAUGGUAGAAGUAUCAAAAGCUCCGGCGGUACAGGAUGGACCCGCGUCUGAUUAGCUAGUUGGUAAGGUAAACGGCUUACCAAGGCGACGAUCAGUAGCCGACCUGAGAGGGUGAUCGGCCACAUUGGAACUGAGACACGGUCCAAACUCCUACGGGAGGCAGCAGUGGGGAAUAUUGCACAAUGGGCGAAAGCCUGAUGCAGCAACGCCGCGUGAGCGAUGAAGGCCUUCGGGUCGUAAAGCUCUGUCCUCAAGGAAGAUAAUGACGGUACUUGAGGAGGAAGCCCCGGCUAACUACGUG
rnacentral:rRNA from 1 species